GGCAAAAAGUAAUACAGAUAAACAUGAAAAUUAAAACAUUGCAUAAUAAUUAAUGGGUCAUUAUUAGGUUUAAUGCAUUAUUAUAUAAUUAUCGCUGCAUCAAAUUGAAAUUAUAGGAUUCCAGAAGAUUUCAUGUUAGCAGGAUCCAUAACAAUUACCCCUGCAGACCCAGCAAUUGGAAGAAAUUUUAAGUUGAUAUCAGGAGGACUAUUUAUUGCGCUGAAGUUAAUUGUGGAUUUAAUACAACAUAUAAUUACAAAUUAAGAGAACAUUUAAGAGACGAACACGAACUUGCUUCGUACGAAUCAAGAAAAAUUAUAUUCGAAUCUUUAGAAAAAUUUUGGGAAUGGAAACAUCAAGUCGAAAAAGCAAGUUGUUCAAAAUUUUUCCAAACUAGUAAGAAGAAAUUAGGUUCUGGUUAUAGUAAAUAUUAUUUUUCUUGUAACAGAACUGGAAUUUAUAAGCCAAAAGGAAAUAACAAGAGAGCUUUGAAGUUUCAGGGAAGCUGCAAAAUUAAUGGUCACUGUACUGCAUUUAUCAUAUGUAUAGAAGAAGAAGAAAAAUGCAUUGUGGAAUAUUGUUUACAACACUAUGCACACAACAUCGAAGUGGGAAAUUUAUCGUUGGACGAGGACGAAAACCAGGCAACCACUCGCGAUUCAAAUAAACCUAAUAAGCAGAAAAAACAUAAAAGGCCAACAAUAUAUUGUCCAAAAUAACCUAUAGCACUUGAAUGAAAUUUAUAAGAAUUAUUUUGAUAUUUAUAAAUUUAUACUGUAAAAAGAACUGUAUUAUAUUUGUUAACAAAUGAAAUAAAUUUUUGUUUUGUUUUGUAACAUGUUUUGUUUUGAAGAAGUAAGGCAAGUUGUAAUUUUUGGAAUAGAAAACUAUUUCCAAAUUGGCACAUUAUAACAUGCAUCCAGGAUGUUUU